GAACGCUUCACCCCAACUUCUUCCUCGAUGGCUUUUCCCACGUUUUCACAGCAGCUUUAUCAAGAACAGGCUUGCUCUGCAGUGAGUGAUGCAGCGUAAAGAGCCAGGAGAAGGAGGAGAGGAGAGCAGUUGAAUCGAAAUGUACAGCUGUCUUCAGUGCAUCAGCGAUCAGUGCAGUUCUCACUCAGAAUACAGCGCUGGAUAUGUUAAACUGAGUUGUUAAUGAAGAGGGUUAGAUCAGCUAUGGAGACCUACAGAAAGAUAGUUUUCCAACCCUGUGAAUGAAGAGAAGAGGCUGCACAAAACCAGGCAGAAGGAAACAUGUCCAGGCUUCUUCAGAGCUCUGAGGACAGCUAGACAGCAGAACAGGUUUAUGACGAGGAAGACUAUGAAGUGUACCAG